rnacentral:rRNA from 1 species
UACGUAGGGGGCUAGCGUUGUCCGGAUUCAUUGGGCGUAAAGCGCGUGUAGGCGGCCCGGUAAGUCCGCUGUGAAAGUCGGGGGCUCAACCCUCGAAUGCCGGUGGAUACUGUCGGGCUAGAGUGCGGAAGAGGCGAGUGGAAUUCCUGGUGUAGCGGUGAAAUGCGCAGAUAUCAGGAGGAACACCAAUUGCGAAGGCAGCUCGCUGGGACGUGACUGACGCUGAGACGCGAAAGCGUGGGGAGCAAACAGG